rnacentral:rRNA from 1 species
GACGAACGCUGGCGGCGUGCUUAACACAUGCAAGUCGAGCGGUAAGGCCUUUCGGGGUACACGAGCGGCGAAUGGGUGAGUAACACGUGGGUGAUCUGCCCUGCACUUCGGGAUAAGCCUGGGAAACUGGGUCUAAUACCGGAUAUGACCUCCUAUCGCAUGGUGGGUGGUGGAAAGAUUUAUCGGUGCAGGAUGGGCCCGCGGCCUAUCAGCUUGUUGGUGGGGUAAUGGCCUACCAAGGCGACGACGGGUAGCCGACCUGAGAGGGUGACCGGCCACACUGGGACUGAGACACGGCCCAGACUCCUACGGGAGGCAGCAGUGGGGAAUAUUGCACAAUGGGCGAAAGCCUGAUGCAGCGACGCCGCGUGAGGGAUGACGGCCUUCGGGUUGUAAACCUCUUUCAGCAGGGACGAAGCGCAAGUGACGGUACCUGCAGAAGAAGCACCGGCUAACUACGUG